rnacentral:rRNA from 1 species
CACCGCCCGUCACGCCAUGGGAGUUGGUUCUACCCGAAGAUGGUGCGCUAACCGCAAGGAGGCAGCCAGCCACGGUAGGGAUCAAUGACUGGGGCG